AUACGGAGGGUGCAAGCGUUAUCCGGAUUCAUUGGGUUUAAAGGGUGCGCAGGCGGAAUGAUAAGUCAGUGGUGAAAUCCUACAGCUUAACUGUAGAACUGCCAUUGAUACUGUCAUUCUUGAGUACACUUGAAGUGGGCGGAAUGUAUCAUGUAGCGGUGAGACGCAUAGAUAUGAUACAGAACUCCGAUAGCGAAGGCAGCUCACUAAAUUGUAACUGACGCUCAGGCACGAAAGCGUGGGGAGCAAACAGGAUUAGAAACCCCGGUAGUCC
rnacentral:rRNA from 1 species